AAAAUGCGAUACGUAAUGCGAAUUGCAGAAUUCAGUGAAUCAUCAAAUCUUUGAACGCAAAUUGCGCUCUCGGGAUAGGCCUGGGAGCACGCCUCUUUGAGUAUCGAUUCCACCACAACUCGAAAGCGUGCUUGUAAAAAAGCAACGCUGACGGACAUUGAGACUCUUGUUAACGCAAGUGUCUACAAACCGAGCGAGUGCCGUGAUCUAGCCUGACGAACAGCGUUUUGUCUCUAGUGACGAGGAUAACUUCACAUUCAGUUGUGUGCUCUUCCAUCGUUCCUAUGAGUGCGAGCUCUGAGCGUUCACUGGGUCGUCGGUUCGCCCUCUUCACGUUUGUUCUUACGAACAGCUGGAGAAACACCUUUUGAAUUAGAUCUCAAAUGAAGCGAGAAUACCC
rnacentral:misc_RNA from 1 species